CGGGGCUUAAAGUCUUGUAAUUUGAAUGAUGGGAAUUUAAACCUCUUCCAGAGUAUCAAUUGGAGGGCAAGUCUGGUGCCAGCAGCCGCGGUAAUUCCAGCUCCAAUAGCGUAUAUUAAAAUUGUUGCAGUUAAAAAGCUCGUAGUUGAAUUUCUGCUGCAUUGCUUGUGUCCCUCUGGGGUCUGUGCAUGUGGCUUUUUUCGGACGGAGUUUCUUUGUCUGAAUGUUUACUUUGAGAAAAUUAGAGUGCUCAAAGCAGGCUUUCGCCUUGAAUAGUUUAGCAUGGAAUAAUAAAGUAGGACUUUGGUUCUAUUUUGUUGGUUUUAGGUACCAAAGUAAUGGUUAAUAGGAACAGUUGGGGGCAUUCGUAUUUAACUGUCAGAGGUGAAAUUCUUAGAUUUGUUAAAGACGAACUACUGCGAAAGCAUUUGCCAAGGAUGUUUUCAUUAAUCAAGAAC
rnacentral:rRNA from 1 species